rnacentral:rRNA from 1 species
UCAUUACCGGAAGGGGAUGUGGACUGCUAAGAAGAGAGUAUGCCGGAAUGAGUAGCGAGAGCAAGGUGAGAAUCCUUGCGGCCGAAUAUCCAAGGUUUCCGGAGUAAAGCUGAUCUGCUCUGGGUAAGUCGGGGCCUAAGGAGAGGCAGAGAUGCGUAUCCGAUGGACAGCAGGUUUAAGAUUCCUGCACCCCUUGUUAUCAGAACUGCGGGGACACGGGAAGGGAAGCAGAGCCGGGAAUGGAAAGCCCGGUGCAAGCGAAGUAGUCGCAGGGUUGGAAAAUCCGCCCUGCAUGAGACGAAGGCGUGAUGCGGAGCGAAAUGAAGUAGUGAAGCUGCGGCCCCUUCCUGUCGAGAAAAGCCGCUAUCGUGUAGCAAGGGCCCGUACCGUAAACCGACACAGGUGGAUGAGGAGAGGAUCCUAAGGCCGGCGGGAGAAGUGUUGUUAAGGAACUCGGCAAAAUGACUCCGUAACUUCGGGAGAAGGAGUGCUGCGCAAGCAGCCGCAGAGAAAUGGCCCAAGCAACUGUUUAGCAAAAACACAGGUCUAUGCGAAACCGAAAGGUGAGGUAUAUGGGCUGACGCCUGCCCGGUGCUGGAAGGUUAAGGGGAGAGCUUAGCGCGAGCGAAGGUUUGAACUUAAGCCCCAGUAAACGGCGGCCGUAACAAUAACGGUCCUAAGGUAGCGAAAUUCCUUGUCGGGUAAGUUCCGACCCGCACGAAAGGCGUAAUGAUUUGGGCACUGUCUCAACAACACACCCGGUGAAAUUGAAAUACCAGUGAAGAUGCUGGUUACCCGCGCCAGGACGGAAAGACCCCAUGGAGCUUUACUCCAGCCUGAUACUGGGAUUCGGUAUUGCAUGUACAGGAUAGGUGGGAGGCUAAGAACUCAUGGCGCCAGCCGUGAGGGAGCCGAUGUAGGGAUACCACCCCUGCAGUACUGGGUUUCUAACCUGCGCCCGUGACCCGGGCGGGGGACAAUGUCAGGCGGGGAGUUUGACUGGGGCGGUCGCCUCCGAAAGGGUAUCGGAGGCGCUCAAAGGUCUCCUCAGGAUGGUUGGAAACCAUCCAGAGAGUGCAAAGGCAGAAGGAGGCUUGACUGCGACACCGACGGGUGGAGCAGGUACGAAAGUAGGACUUAGUGAUCCGGUGGCAUAAAGUGGGAUUGCCAUCGCUCAACGGAUAAAAGCUACCCUGGGAUAACAGGCUUAUCACUCCCAAGAGUUCACAUCGACGGAGUGGUUUGGCACCUCGAUGUCGGCUCAUCGCAUCCUGGAGCUGGAGCAGGUUCCAAGGGUUGGGCUGUUCGCCCAUUAAAGCGGUACGCGAGCUGGGUUCAGAACGUCGUGAGACAGUUCGGUCCCUAUCCGGCGCGGGCGCAGGAUAUCUGAGAGGAGCUGUCCUUAGUACGAGAGGACCGGGAUGGACCGUCCGCUGGUGGACCGGUUGUCAUGCCAAUGGCACGGCCGGGUAGCCAAGACGGGAAGGGAUAAACGCUGAAGGCAUCUAAGCGUGAAGCCCCCCUCAAGAUGAGAUAUCCAUACUCGAAAGAGUGAGAGACCCCUUAGAGACGAUGAGGUAGAUAGGGCAGAGAUGGAAGCACAGCGAUGUGUGGAGUUGACUGUUACUAAUCGGUCGAAAGCUUG